UAUGUUUGUUUGCAUACACAAAGUGUGUGGUGAGUUCCCUGUAGAUAUAAGAUGCUAUAAAUGUUCUAUUUCCUAUGUGACGUCUCAGUGAUCUGCACCUGACACUGCUCCUACUGUCAGUAUGGGGAGAUACUUACUGCUUGUCCUCUCCACUCUCUUCUCUCUCUCUGUUCCAGGUUCCUAUGGGCAGAUUGUACUGACUCAGUCUCCAGAUUAUGUCUCUGUGUCACCAGGAGAAACUGUCACCCUCACAUGUAAAGCCAGUAGCGAUGUUCGCAAUGACAUAGCCUGGUACCAACAGAAAUCAGGGCAGGCACCAAUGCUGCUGAUCUAUUAUGCAAGCAACAGAUACACAGGGACCCCAGAGCGGAUCAGCGGCAGUGGAUAUGGAACUGAUUUCACUCUUACAAUCAGCAGAAUGGAAGCAGAAGAUGCAGCAGAUUAUUACUGUCAGCAGGGUAAGAGCUUCCCUCUCACACAGUGAUACAGAGCUGAACAAAAACCUUCCUCUUUUAUGAAGACAAAUAUAUAAGGGGAAAUAAGCAGCUGACAGUAUCUCGUGGGUACAUGUUAUUAGAGGUUUCUGCACAAGUUACCAGUUCUACUCAUCUCCUUACACAGUUCUAUGGUACUUAUAUAUAUUAAUCAAAAGAGAUCUCUGACACUACAUGCUACAAAGACAAGAGUUCAUCUGCACUCAACCCAUUAUCAAUAAUAAUAU